UUGGAGGGCAAGUCUGGUGCCAGCAGCCGCGGUAAUUCCAGCUCCAAUAGCGUAUAUUAAAGUUGUUGCAGUUAAAAAGCUCGUAGUUGAAUUUCGGGAUCAAUAUGCUGGUCGUGCCUUUGGUACGUACUGGUAUUAUUGGUUUCUCCUUUCUGAUGAAUCACGAUGUCAUUAAUUUGGUGUCAUGGGGAGUCAGGACUGUUACUUUGAAAAAAUUAGAGUGUUUAAAGCAGGCUUACGCUUGAAUACAUUAGCAUGGAAUAAUGAAAUAGGACGUUUAAUUCUAUUUUGUUGGUUUCUAGGAUUGACGUAAUGAUUAAUAGGGAUAGUUGGGGGCAUUAGUAUUCAAUUGUCAGAGGUGAAAUUCUUGGAUUUAUUGAAGACUAACUACUGCGAAAGCAUUUGCCAAGGAUGUUUUCAUUAAUCAAGAACGAAAGUUAGGGGAUCGAAGACGAUCAGAUACCGUCGUAGUCUUAACCAUAAACUAUGCCGACUAGGGAUCGGAUGAUGUUAAUUUUUUAAUGACUCAUUCGGCGCCUUACGGGAAACCAAAGUGUUUGGGUUC
rnacentral:rRNA from 1 species